AUGAAGGAUAGAAAGUUGGGUUUCAGAAUUGAGAGAAAACCAGACCCCCUCUACGCUAACAGGGCAAGGCCCAGAGCUAAGGUCUGCUUGUGGCUAGCAUGCCAUGGUAAGCUUGCUUCUAAAGAUCGUCUGAAGAAAUUUGGCAUGCUGCAAGACAGUAGUUGCAGUCUUUGUUAUGUUAAGGAAGAAUCCAUAAAGCAUCUAUUUUUUGAAUGCAAUUUUCCUGCCAAAGUUUGGGCUAGAACAUUGGAGUGGUUGAAUAUUGCUCAUGUUUCUAGAAGGUGGGAUGAGGAGCUCCAAUGGCUCAUUGGCAAAACCAAAGGAAAAUGA